rnacentral:snRNA from 1 species
UCAAGUGAGAAACUUUGUAC